AAUAUUGCGCAAUGGGGGAAACCCUGACGCAGCGACGCCGCGUGAGUGAUGAAGGUCUUCGGAUCGUAAAACUCUGUCCUCAGGGAAGAAACAAAUGACGGUACCUGAGGAGGAAGCCCCGGCUAACUACGUGCCAGCAGCCGCGGUAAUACGUAGGGGCGAGCGUUGUCCGGAAUUAUUGGGCGUAAAGGGUGCGUAGGCGGUCCUUUAAGUCAGAUGUGAAAGACCACAGCUUAACUGUGGGAUUGCAUUUGAAACUGCAUAGCUAGAGUGCAGGAGAGGAAAGUGGAAUUCCUAGUGUAGCGGUGAAAUGCGUAGAUAUUAGGAGGAACACCAGUGGCGAAGGCGACUUUCUGGACUGUAACUGACGCUGAUGCACGAAAGCGUGGGUAGCGAACA
rnacentral:rRNA from 1 species